rnacentral:rRNA from 1 species
AACGAACACUGGCGGCAGGCUUAACACAUGCAAGUCGAACGCAUCCUUCGGGGUGAGUGGCAGACGGGUGAGUAACGCGUGGGAAUCUACCUCUUGCUACGGGAUAGCUCCAGGAAACUGGAAUUAAUACCGUAUGUGCCCUUCGGGGGAAAGAUUUAUCGGCAAGGGAUGAGCCCGCGUUGGAUUAGCUAGUUGGUGGGGUAAAGGCCUACCAAGGCGACGAUCCAUAGCUGGUCUGAGAGGAUGAUCAGCCACAUUGGGACUGAGACACGGCCCAAACUCCUACGGGAGGCAGCAGUGGGGAAUAUUGGACAAUGGGCGCAAGCCUGAUCCAGCCAUGCCGCGUGAGUGAUGAAGGUCUUAGGAUUGUAAAGCUCUUUCACCGGGGACGAUAAUGACGGUACCCGGAGAAGAAGCCCCGGCUAACUUCGUGCCAGCAGCCGCAGUAACAC